rnacentral:rRNA from 1 species
AUUGAACGCUGGCGGCAGGCCUAACACAUGCAAGUCGAGCGGAGCGGCGGACGGGUGAGUAAUGCCUAGGAAUCUGCCUGUUAGUGGGGGAUAACGUCCGGAAACGGGCGCUAAUACCGCAUACUAUCAGAUCAGCCUAGGUCGUCUUAGCUAGUUGGUGGGGUAAAGGCCUACCAAGGCGACGAUCCGUAACUGGGCUGAGAGGAUGAUCAGUCAAACUGGAACUGAGACAGGGUCCAGCCUCAUAGGGGAGGAAGCAGUGGGGAAUAUUGGACAAUGGGCAAAAGCCUGAUCCAGCAAUGCCGCGUGUGUGAAGAAGGUCUUGGGAUUGUAAAGCAUGUUAAGUUGGGAGGCGUUACCAACAGAAUAAGCACCGGCUAACUUCGUGCCAGCAGCCCGGUAAUAC